CUAAGGUCCCAAAGUUCUGGUUAAGUGGGAAACGAUGUGGGAAGGCUCAGACAGCUAGGAUGUUGGCUUAGAAGCAGCCAUCAUUUAAAGAAAGCGUAAUAGCUCACUAGUCGAGUCGGCCUGCGCGGAAGAUGUAACGGGGCUCAAACCAGGCACCGAAGCCGCGGAUUCACACUUAUGUGUGAGUGGUAGGGGAGCGUUCUGUAAGUCUGCGAAGGUGUAUCGAGAGGUAUGCUGGAGAUAUCAGAAGUGCGAAUGCUGACGUAAGUAACGAUAAAGGGGGUGAAAAGCCUCCUCGCCGGAAGACCAAGGGUUCCUGUCCAACGUUAAUCGGGGCAGGGUGAGUCGACCCCUAAGGCGAGGCCGAAAGGCGUAGUCGAUGGGAAGCAGGUUAAUAUUCCUGCACGACUUGUAAUUGCGAUGGGGGGACGGAGAAGGCUAGGUGGGCCAGGCGACGGUUGUCCUGGUGAAAGUGCGUAGGUGGUGUUUCUAGGCAAAUCCGGAGACACAACACUGAGACACGAGACGAACGCACUACGGUGCGGAAGCCAUUGAUGCCCUGCUUCCAGGAAAAGCCUCUAAGCUUCAGAUUACAAGUCAUCGUACCCCAAACCGACACAGGUGGUCGGGUAGAGAAUACCAAGGCGCUUGAGAGAACUCGGGUGAAGGAACUAGGCAAAAUAGAACCGUAACUUCGGGAGAAGGUUCGCUCUUGACAGUGAAGUCCCUUGCGGAUGGAGCAGUUGGGAGUCGCAGUGACCAGAUGGCUGGGACUGUUUAUCAAAAACACAGCACUCUGCAAACACGAAAGUGGACGUAUAGGGUGUGACACCUGCCCGGUGCCGGAAGGUUAAUUGAUGGGGUUAGCGCAAGCGAAGCUCUUGAUCGAAGCCCCGGUAAACGGCGGCCGUAACUAUAACGGUCCUAAGGUAGCGAAAUUCCUUGUCGGGUAAGUUCCGACCUGCACGAAUGGUGUAACCAUGGCCAUGCUGUCUCCACCCGAGACUCAGUGAAAUCGAAUUCGCCGUGAAGAUGCGGUGUACCCGCGGCUAGACGGAAAGACCCCGUGAACCUUUACUACAGCUUGGCACUGAACAUUGAACCUACAUGUGUAGGAUAGGUGGGAGGCUUUGAAGGCGUGACGCCAGUUGCGCUGGAGCCGUCCUUGAAAUACCACCCUUGUAUGUUUGAUGUUCUAACGCAGGGCCCUGAAUCGGGCUCGCGGACAGUGCCUGGUGGGUAGUUUGACUGGGGCGGUCUCCUCCCAAAGAGUAACGGAGGAGCACGAAGGUUGGCUAAUCCUGGUCGGACAUCAGGAGGUUAGUGCAAUGGCAUAAGCCAGCUUAACUGCGAGACGGACAGGUCGAGCAGGUACGAAAGUAGGUCAUAGUGAUCCGGUGGUUCUGAAUGGAAGGGCCAUCGCUCAACGGAUAAAAGGUACUCCGGGGAUAACAGGCUGAUACCGCCCAAGAGUUCAUAUCGACGGCGGUGUUUGGCACCUCGAUGUCGGCUCAUCACAUCCUGGGGCUGAAGUCGGUCCCAAGGGUAUGGCUGUUCGCCAUUUAAAGUGGUACGCGAGCUGGGUUCAGAACGUCGUGAGACAGUUCGGUCCCUAUCUGCCGUGGGCGUUGGAUGAUUGAAGGGAGUUGCUCCUAGUACGAGAGGACCGGAGUGAACGAACCUCUGGUGUUCGGGUUGUCACGCCAGUGGCACUGCCCGGUAGCUAAGUUCGGAAUCGAUAACCGCUGAAAGCAUCUAAGCGGGAAGCGAGCCCUGAGAUGAGUCAUCCCUGACCCCUUGAGGGUCCUAAAGGGCCGUUGGAGACCACAACGUUGAUAGGUGGGGUGUGUAAGCGCGGCGACGUGUUGAGCUAACCCAUACUAAUUACCCGUGAGGCUUAACCAU
rnacentral:rRNA from 1 species